rnacentral:rRNA from 1 species
AGUGAACGCUGGCGGUAUGCCUAACACAUGCAAGUCGAACGGCAGCACAGUAAGAGCUUGCUCUUACGGGUGGCGAGUGGCGGACGGGUGAGGAAUACAUCGGAAUCUACUUUUUCGUGGGUGAUAACGUAGGGAAACUUACGCUAAUACCGCAUACGACCUACGGGUGAAAGCAGUGGAUCUUCGGACCUUUCGCGAUUGAAUGAGCCGAUGUCGGAUUAGCUAGUUGGCGGGGUAAAGGCCCACCAAGGCGACGAUCCGUAGCUGGUCUGAGAGGAUGAUCAGCCACACUGGAACUGAGACACGGUCCAGACUCCUACGGGAGGCAGCAGUGGGGAAUAUUGGACAAUGGGCGCAAGCCUGAUCCAGCAAUACCGCGUGGGUGAAGAAGGCCUUCGGGUUGUAAAGCCCUUUUGUUGGGAAAGAAAAGCAGCAGGUUAAUACCCCGCUGUUCUGACGGUACCCAAAGAAUAAGCAACGGCUAACUUCGUG